rnacentral:rRNA from 1 species
UGGGGAAUAUUGGGCAAUGGGCGCAAGCCUGACCCAGCGACGCCGCGUGAGGGAUGAAGGUCUUCGGAUUGUAAACCUCUUUCAGUGGGGAAGAAGCGAAAGUGACGGUACCCAAAGAAGAAGCACCGGCUAACUAUGUGCCAGCAGCCGCGGUAAUACAUAGGGUGCAAGCGUUGUCCGGAAUUAUUGGGCGUAAAGAGCUCGUAGGUGGUUUAUCACGUCGGAUGUGAAAUUCUGAGGCUCAACCUCGGACCUGCAUUCGAUACGGGCAAACUAGAGUGUGGUAGGGGAGACUGGAAUUCCUGGUGUAGCGGUGGAAUGCGCAGAUAUCAGGAGGAACACCGAUGGCGAAGGCAGGUCUCUGGGCCAAUACUGACACUGAGGAGCGAAAGCGUGGGGAGCGAACAGGAUUAGAUACCCUGGUAGUCCACGCCGUAAACGGUGGGCGCUAGUUGUGCGAACCUUCCACGGUUUGUGCGACGCAGCUAACGCAUUAAGCGCCCCGCCUGGGGAGUACGAUCGCAAGAUUA